CCUACGGGUGGCUGCAGUAGGGAAUAUUGGACAAUGGAGGAAACUCUGAUCCAGCCAUGCCGCGUGAUAGAUGAAGGCCCUCUGGGUUGUAAAUAUCUUUUAUCUGGGAAGAAACACUCCUAUUCUUAGGAACUUGACGGUACCAGAGGAAUAAGCACCGGCUAACUCCGUGCCAGCAGCCGCGGUAAUACGGCGGGUGCAGGAGUUAUCCGGAUUCACGGGGUUGAAGGGGUGCGGAGACGUGAGUAGUGAAAGCUCCGAGCUUAACUUGGAAACUGCCAUUGAUACUGUUAGUCUUGAAUAUCGUAGAGGUAAGCGGAAUGUUGCAUGUAGCGGUGAAAUGCUUAGAUAUGUUACAGAACACCAAUUGCGAAGGCAGCUUACUAUGCGAUGAUUGACGCUGAGGCACGAAAGCGUGGGGAGCAAACAGGAUUAGAUACCCGGGUAGUC
rnacentral:rRNA from 1 species